UAGGGAAUAUUAGUAAUGGGCGAAAGCCUGAACUAGCAACACCGCGUGUGCGGAGAAGGCCUUCGGGUUGUAAAGCACUUUUUGGAAGGAUUAGGAAGGAAUGUACUUCCAGAAUAAGUCUCGGCUAACUACGUGCCAGCAGCCGCGGUAACACGUAGGAGGCAAACGUUAUCCGGAUUUACUGAGCGUAAAGCGCGUGUAGGUGGUUCUGUAAGUAGGGCGUGAAAGCUCCUGGCUCAACUGGGAGAGGCCGUUCUAAACUGCAGAGCUAGAGGAUGGUAGAGGGAGGUGGAAUUCCGGGUGUAGCGGUGGAAUGCGCAGAUAUCCGGAGGAACACCAGUGGCGAAAGCGGCCUCCUGGACCAUUCCUGACACUCAGACGCGAAAGCUAGGGUAGCAAACG
rnacentral:rRNA from 1 species